rnacentral:RNase_P_RNA from 1 species
AUUUUCGGAUAAUCGCGCUAUUUUAUGGUGAGGAAAGUCCAUGCUCGCACAGGCUGCGAUGCCUGUAGUGAUUGUGCUAGGUGAAACAAUAAGCCUAGGGACGUAAGUUACGGCUGAAAAAUUCGCUAAGUAGUUUUAUAUGCGGAGAGUAUCUGUAAAAGUGCCAAAGAGACGAGUUUAGCUGGAAACGGUUAAAGUGGAACGUGGUAAACCCCUCAAGCGAGCAACCCAAACUUUGGUAGGGGCACUUGUCAAGCGGAAUUGAACGUGAGACGAGGUCGAUAUGACAGACAGAUGAUUAUCGAAGGUGUAAGGCCUGGUUACACUGGAACAAAACAUGGCUUAUAGAA